UUUUCGCCAUUUCGAGGUAAUUCUUAAUUCAGUGUAGUGAAGUUAUAAUUUGCAGUGGCUAAAAUCAUGCCAGCCCAAGAUAUGAUUCUGGUGAAGGAAGAUGUUGUCAUUUCGGGUAUAGGUGGAUAUUUUCCAGAGUCGAUAAAUAUUGAACAGUUUCAAAAGAACCUUCUGGACAAUAAGGAUUUGGUUGGCACGCGUUGGAGGCAAGGUGAAAGAGGAGUAAGCAACAAAGUGGGAACUGUGUCCACUCAAUAUUUUGAUAAUGCCUAUUUCGGAAUCCAUCGACAACAAUGUACUUUCAUGGAUCCCAUGCAACGUUUGGUG
rnacentral:lncRNA from 1 species